rnacentral:rRNA from 1 species
UACGGAGGGGGCAAGCGUUGUUCGGAAUUAUUGGGCGUAAAGAGUAUGUAGGCGGCUAGAUAAGUCAGACGUGUAAGCCCAUGGCUCAACCAUGGAAUUGCGUUUGAAACUAUUUAGCUUGAGUGCAGGAGAGGAAAGCGGAAUUCCCAGUGUAGCGGUGAAAUGCAUUGAUAUUGGGAAGAACACCGGUGGCGAAGGCGGCUUUCUGGGAUAAUACUGACACUGAGGCGCGAAAGCGUGGGGAGCGAACCGG